UACGUAGGGUGCAAGCGUUAAUCGGAAUUACUGGGCGUAAAGCGUGCGCAGGCGGCUUUGCAAGACAGAUGUGAAAUCCCCGGGCUUAACCUGGGAACUGCAUUUGUGACUGCAAGGCUAGAGUGUGACAGAGGGGGGUGGAAUUCCACGUGUAGCAGUGAAAUGCGUUGAGAUGUGGAGGAACACCGAUGGCGAAGGCAGCCCCCUGGGUUAACACUGACGCUCAGGCACGAAAGCGUGGGGAGCAAACAGG
rnacentral:rRNA from 1 species